rnacentral:rRNA from 1 species
GACGAACGCUGGCGGCGUGCCUAAUACAUGCAAGUAGAACGCACAGUUUAUACCGUAGCUUGCUACACCAUAGACUGUGAGUUGCGAACGGGUGAGUAACGCGUAGGUAACCUGCCUGGUAGCGGGGGAUAACUAUGGGAAACGAUAGCUAAUACCGCAUAAUAUUGAUUAUUGCAUGAUAAUUGAUUGAAAGAUGCUAUUGCAUCACUACCAGAUGGACCUGCGUUGUAUUAGCUAGUAGGUGAGGUAACGGCUCACCUAGGCGACGAUACAUAGCCGACCUGAGAGGGUGAUCGGCCACACUGGGACUGAGACACGGCCCAGACUCCUACGGGAGGCAGCAGUAGGGAAUCUUCGGCAAUGGACGAAAGUCUGACCGAGCAACGCCGCGUGAGUGAAGAAGGUUUUCGGAUCGUAAAGCUCUGUUGUAAGAGAAGAACGGGUGUGAGAGUGGAAAGUUCACACUGUGACGGUAUCUUACCAGAAAGGGACGGCUAACUACGUG